UACAGAGGUCUCAAGCGUUGUUCGGAUUCAUUGGGCGUAAAGGGUGCGUAGGUGGCGCCGUAAGUCAGGUGUGAAAUUUCGGAGCUUAACUCCGAAACUGCAUUUGAUACUGCGGUGCUUGAGGACUGGAGAGGAGACUGGAAUUCAUGGUGUAGCAGUGAAAUGCGUAGAGAUCAUGAGGAAGACCAGUGGCGAAGGCGGGUCUCUGGACAGUUCCUGACGCUGAGGCACGAAGGUCAGGGGAGCAAACGGG
rnacentral:rRNA from 1 species